rnacentral:rRNA from 1 species
UACGUAGGGGGCAAGCGUUGUCCGGAUUUAUUGGGCGUAAAGAGCGUGUAGGCGGCCAGAUAGGUCCGUUGUGAAAAACUCGAGGCUCAACCUCGAGACGCCGAUGGAAACCAUUUGGCUAGAGUCCGGAAGAGGAGAGUGGAAUUCCUGGUGUAGCGGUGAAAUGCGCAGAUAUCAGGAAGAACACCCGUGGCUAAGGCGGCUCUCUAGUACGGUACUGACGCUGAGACGCGAAAGCGUGGGGAGCGAACAGG